rnacentral:rRNA from 1 species
CCUACGGGCGGCAGCAGUGGGGAAUAUUGGACAAUGGGGGAAACCCUGAUCCAGCGACGCCGCGUGAGUGAAGAAGUAUUUCGGUACGUAAAGCUCUAUCAGCAGGAAAGAAAAUGACGGUACCUGACUAAGAAGCCCCGGCUAACUACGUGCCAGCAGCCGCGGUAAUACGUAGGGGGCAAGCGUUAUCCGGAUUUACUGGGUGUAAAGGGAGCGUCGACGGCAGCGCAAGUCUGGAGUGAAAUGCCGGGGGCCAACCCCGGAACUGCUCUGGAAACUGUGAAGCUGGAGUGCAGGAGAGGUAAGCGGAAUUCCUGGUGUAGCGGUGAAAUGCGUAGAUAUCAGGAGGAACACCGGCGGCGAAGGCGGCUUACUGGACUGUAACUGACGUUGAGGCUCGAAGGCGUGGGGAGCAAACAGGAUUAGAUACCCCUGUAGUC